UACGUAGGGGGCAAGCGUUGUCCGGAAUUAUUGGGCGUAAAGCGCGCGCAGGCGGUUCUUUAAGGCUGGUGUCUAAGUGCGGGGCUCAACCCCGUGAUGCACUGGAAACUGGGGAACUUGAGUGCAGAAGAGGAGAGCGGAAUUCCACGUGUAGCGGUGAAAUGCGUAGAGAUGUGGAGGAACACCGGUGGCGAAGGCGGCCUGCUGGGCAGUUGCUGACACUGAGGCGCGACAGCGUGGGGAGCAAACAGG
rnacentral:rRNA from 1 species